GAUGAACGCUGGCGGCGUGCCUAAUACAUGCAAGUCGAACGCUGAAGGAAGGAGCUUGCUCUUUCCGGAUGAGUUGCGAACGGGUGAGUAACGCGUAGGUAACCUGCCUGGUAGCGGGGGAUAACUAUUGGAAACGAUAGCUAAUACCGCAUAACAGUAGAUGUUGCAUGAUAUCUACUUAAAAGGUGCAAUUGCACCACUACCAGAUGGACCUGCGUUGUAUUAGCUAGUUGGUGAGGUAACGGCUCACCAAGGCGACGAUACAUAGCCGACCUGAGAGGGUGAUCGGCCACACUGGGACUGAGACACGGCCCAGACUCCUACGGGAGGCAGCAGUAGGGAAUCUUCGGCAAUGGACGGAAGUCUGACCGAGCAACGCCGCGUGAGUGAAGAAGGUUUUCGGAUCGUAAAGCUCGGUUGUAAGAGAAGAACGAGUGUGAGAGUGGAAAGUUCACACUGUGACGGUAUCUUACCAGAAAGGGACGGCUAACUACGUG
rnacentral:rRNA from 1 species